rnacentral:misc_RNA from 1 species
AAGACUAUAGACCUGCGGAGUACCUGCGGAAGGAUCAUUAACGUAUCUAUGAUGGGGUGCGGAGCGCCCUGCUCCGGUCGAACGGCCGUGCAGCGGAUGCGCCGCCCCCGUCCCACCUCACAAACCCACUGUGAACAUUCACCGGUGGAGGGGGCUCGGUCUGCGCCGUGUCCCCGAUGCCGAAUACCCAAACUCCAGUUGCAAAGAACGUCGUGCGGACUCGGUGCCGCCUAAAACAUG